UACGUAGGUGGCAAGCGUUACUCGGAAUCACUGGGCGUAAAGCGCAGGUAGGCGGUUUGAUAAGUCUGUUGUGAAAGCUCCCGGCUUAACUGGGAGAGGUCAACGGAAACUGUCAAGCUAGAGUGUGGUAGAGGAAGAUGGAAUUCCCGGUGUAGCGGUGAAAUGCGUAGAUAUCGGGAGGAAUACCUAUGGCGAAAGCAGUCUUCUGGACCAUCACUGACGCUGAUCUGCGAAAGCUAGGGGAGCAAACAGG
rnacentral:rRNA from 1 species